UACGUAGGGGGCAAGCGUUGUCCGGAAUCAUUGGGCGUAAAGAGCGCGUAGGCGGCCCUGUAAGUCCGCUGUGAAAGUCAAGGGCUCAACCCUUGAAUGCCGGUGGAUACUGCAGGGCUAGAGUCCGGAAGAGGAGAGCGGAAUUCCUGGUGUAGCGGUGGAAUGCGCAGAUAUCAGGAAGAACACCCGUGGCGAAGGCGGCUCUCUGGGACGGUACUGACGCUGAGACGCGAAAGCGUGGGGAGCGAACAGG
rnacentral:rRNA from 1 species